UACGGAGGAUGCAAGCGUUAUCCGGAUUUAUUGGGUUUAAAGGGUGCGCAGGUUGUUUGAUAAGUCAGUGGUGAAAGUCUGUCGCUUAACGGUAGGAUUGCCAUUGAUACUGUUGGACUUGAAUAUGGAUGAGGUAGGCGGAAUGUGUAGUGUAGCGGUGAAAUGCAUAGAUAUUACACAGAACACCGAUUGCGCAGGCAGCUUACUAAACUACUACUGACGCUCAGGCACGAAGGCGUGGGGAUCAAACA
rnacentral:rRNA from 1 species